rnacentral:rRNA from 1 species
AUUGAACGCUGGCGGCAGGCCUAAAACAUGCAAGUCGAACGAGUGGCGGACGGGUGAGUAAUGUCUGGGAAACUGCCUGAUGGAGGGGGAUAACUACUGGAAACGGUAGCUAAUACCGCAUACCAUCGGAUGUGCCCAGAUGGGAUUAGCUAGUAGGUGGGGUAAAGGCUCACCUAGGCGACGAUCCCUAGCUGGUCUGAGAGGAUGAGCAGCCAAACGGGAACUGAGACACGGUCCAGACUCCUACGGGAGGCAGCAGUUGUGAAUAUUGCACAAUGGGCGAAAGCCUGAUGCAGCAAUGCCGCGUGUAUGAAGAAGGCCUUCGGGUUUUAAAGUACUUUCAGCUGGGAGGCGUUACCCGCAGAAGAAGCACCGGCGAACUCCGUGCCAGCAGCCGCGGUAAUAC